rnacentral:rRNA from 1 species
GACGAACGCUGGCGGCGUGCUUAACACAUGCAAGUCGAACGGAAAGGCCCUGCUUUUGUGGGGUGCUCGAGUGGCGAACGGGCGAGUAACACGUGAGUAACCUGCCCUUGACUUUGGGAUAACUUCAGGAAACUGGGGCUAAUACCAGAUAGGAGCUCCUGCUGCAUGGUGGGGGUUGGAAAGUUUCGGCGGUUGGGGAUGGACUCGCGGCUUAUCAGCUUGUUGGUGGGGUAGUGGCUUACCAAGGCUUUGACGGGUAGCCGGCCUGAGAGGGUGACCGGCCACAUUGGGACUGAGAUACGGCCCAGACUCCUACGGGAGGCAGCAGUGGGGAAUAUUGCACAAUGGGCGGAAGCCUGAUGCAGCAACGCCGCGUGCGGGAUGACGGCCUUCGGGUUGUAAACCGCUUUCGCCUGUGACGAAGCGUGAGUGACGGUAAUGGGUAAAGAAGCACCGGCUAACUACGUG